CGGUGAGUAACACGUGGAUAACCUACCUAUAAGACUGGGAUAACUUCGGGAAACCGGAGCUAAUACCGGAUAAUAUAUUGAACCGCAUGGUUCAAUAGUGAAAGACGGUUUUGCUGUCACUUAUAGAUGGAUCCGCGCCGCAUUAGCUAGUUGGUAAGGUAACGGCUUACCAAGGCAACGAUGCGUAGCCGACCUGAGAGGGUGAUCGGCCACACUGGAACUGAGACACGGUCCAG
rnacentral:rRNA from 1 species